CCACCAUUUUGGUAAAAAAACCAAAAACCUAAGGGCAAAAGCAUGCGGGGAAAGAGAGAACAAGCAAAAGCAUACAGCUCACGGGCACAAGUUUGUAAACUAGACGGCCUUUCUUAAAUGGUGUUAAAUAAGAGAAAUUAUAAUAAAUAAAGAGAUCGUAGCCAUUGCCCAUCACAAGUUUAAACUAAUAGAUCCCUUCCCUAUUCUCCAGCGUCCAUUCCCAUCACCACCUUGAGUCCCCAAGCCUAAAAAUCGCACGGGCCUCUCUACUUCUCUCUGUCUACGGCCUCCUCGUGUGACCCUGCAGCAAUAAAUUGAAAUCAACAAAAGCAGGGCUUUGAAAACACCGAGAUAGCUAAUAAGUCUCCCAUAUUCCGUAUGCCUGAGCCUCAUCACUUCAGCGAUUAUGGCUUUGACCCACAAAUCGACUUCUUUCAGGUCUCACUCUUGUAUUAGUUUAUUACUCUGUUUUUUGUGUUAUAUGAUUUCAAGUACUUUUUGACACUUACCCAUUAAGUUGUUUUUGUGUUGAAACAAAGUUCUUGGAAGAAGCAAGAAAGCACAAGCGUGAGACAGUGAGGUCUGUAGACUCUUUGCAUUUCAAGCUCCAGAAACCCAUCUCCAAAGAUGACUCUAACAGAAAGAUCCACAAGACCAAGAAGAAACGGUGGUGGAGAAAAGCCUUCUUAUUUUUCAAAUGGAAGUGGAUCUACGGCCACCAUAAUAACGAUCUUUCCGAUGAAGAAGAUGUCCAUAAAGCUAGGGCUCGAGCAUUCAGGGCAUCAGUAUCGGGUCCUGUGUACAUAACUGAAAGUAUAAGUGGUUCAAGUACUCCACACAGGACCACCAACCGCCCAUCAUCGGGUCCGCUCGCCGGAAAUCUGACUACGGAGAGGAGGGGUGAUUUGGAGAUACCUUAUUUGAGUCUGAGGGAGCUUAACAGGGAGCAGCAGCAGCAGAGGAUGUCCACUUCUGCUAUGCCAGUAUAUUUGGUCACUUAAUUAAAAUGUUUCAGCUUUUAAGUCUUUUUUAGCUCUGUGCAGUUUCUGUUUCAAGAUGUCACAUUGUUACUGACUAGUGACUACUACUUGUUUGAUUUUGGGAAGUUCAAGCUUCAAAAGGUGUUUGAUCCUUUUGGAGGAUGAUUGGAUUGGAUUAUUGAGUUCCGCAACUAAUAGUAACUCGGUGGUUUGACUAAGUCGCCUCCACUCAUUUUCUCCCUUCUUUAUUCGCCAACUUUCACGAGGCUUUUUAAUUAGUGGUUGGAUUAUUUUAUUUGUUAAUAUAAAUUAUUAAAAAAUUUCCUUUAUUUUUUUAAAAAGACCCUUGAAAGCUUGUCGCUUUUAUGCUUUAGAUCAAUAUAUCCACUUUUAGCACAGAUCCUGUGAAUAAAAUUGAAGUGGGAAAGGCAGAUGUGUAGAGCUGCCUUGUGAUAUGGGGUUUGGGUGACAUGGGUAGAGCAUAGGUUUUGGAAGAUGCAAAGACCUCCUUCCUUUAUGUGUGUUUAAUGCAAGAAAAAAUCAUUAUCUUUAACUAUAUAAUGUGGUGUGGGUAAUGAAGAAGUUCUGCAACUACCAAUUUGUUUAAUUACUUAUUAUUAAAUUCGAAAGGUUGGUAUUUUUUAAUUCAGUGCCGACAAUCUCAUCUAUUUUAAACCCUGGACAGGUUGGUGGAGAUUAAUCAUGUAUGUUAUGGUAUGGAUGGAGUGGAGGAGGAGAAAUACCCCAGUAUGCAGCUCAUCCAUCCAAUGUGAAAAUACCAGUCAGCUCUACCGUAAAGCAAUAUGUUUCGGGCACUUCGAUUGGUAGCUUUCGUCCUUUUUCACAUCAUGGACCUUGCUCCUUACAAAGUGAAAACAACCCAUUAGGAUACAGUUCCAACUUCCCCUAGGAGAGCCGGCAUGUUAUCAUUGCGCUUGAUAUACUUUGCCUUAGCCCAAGGGUGGCCGCCGAACCCAUUUGAACCGGCAAUUUUGGUUCAAAAUUUAAGAUAUCAAAAUUAAAACUAUUGAGUUCAUUCGGUUCCAAUUUAUUUAUGGUCUCUGUCUAAUUUUAGUUUGGUUUGAUUCCAAGUUUUUAUCAAAUUGAAUUGGUUUCAGUUUUUUUCUUAUAUACUUUUGGGUAAAAACAUGCAUAAAAUAAGGACUCACAGCAGUUACACCAUGUAUUAGUAGAAUUUAUUAUUUAGUGUAAAUGGAAUUCACAUAAGGCCCAUUUGUAAUUGAUGUUAUUAUUAAAAUUUUAUUAUAAAACUUUGCCG
rnacentral:misc_RNA from 1 species